GGACGUGAGGGUGAUCUGUCACCCCACUGACCGCCAGAGUCGCUUUGGCCAACCGGGCUGGCUCGGGAGGGGUCUCCUUUCUCACUCACUGCUGCGUCUCUCCUGAAGCAGUGUGCUUCAGGAGAGGGUGACCAUCCCAGACAGAAGCCGCCUACCAGGUUUUGCUCAAGGAUAUACGACCGCGACUCUGUUUGGGGGCCACUUCAAAACAUUCAGGGCAAAGGCCCUGCGCGAGCAUUC
rnacentral:sRNA from 1 species